rnacentral:rRNA from 1 species
UACGGAGGGUGCGAGCGUUGUCCGGAAUCAUUGGGCGUAAAGGGCGCGUAGGUGGCCCGGUCAGUUCGUGGUGAAAGCGCGGGGCUCAACUCCGCGUCGGCCCAUGAAUACUGCUGGGCUUGAGCACUGUAGAGGCAGGCGGAAUUCCGGGUGUAGCGGUGGAAUGCGUAGAGAUCCGGAAGAACACCGGUGGCGAAGGCGGCCUGCUGGGCAGUAGCUGACACUGAGGCGCGACAGCGUGGGGAGCAACAGG